CAGGGAGAACAGGGAACUUGCUUUGAAUCUGAAUCAUCUUCAUCAGGUAGAGCCUGCAUAGUGGCUAUUUUAUAGAAGAGAUAAAAGCUACCCAACUGUGCAGCAUGAUGCUCCAAAGGGCCACAGCAGACCUCGAGGACAAGGACGGUUAUCUACAUUCGAUACCUUACUGAUGGAAGCCUUUUCAACCUAAGGCGACUGAAGGCCCACACCAAGACCUUAAAUCAUCUUGUCCGGGAGCUGCUUUAUGCUGAUGACGCCGGCCUUGUCGCUCACACAGAAGCAGCUCUGAAGCGUUUAAAAUCCUGCUUUGCAGAGGCUGCUGAGCUCUUUGGGCUGGAAGUCAGUUCAAAGAAAACAGAAGUUCUGUAUCAACCUGCACCUCAGGAAGUCUUCCAUCAUCCCCAUAUCACCAUUGGUGAAUCAGUGCUCAAAUCAGUCCAGUAGUUUAAUUACCUAGGCAGCCUCAUCUCCUCAGAUGGUAAGAUUGACGGGGAGAUAGACAACAGGCUAGCAAAGGCCUUUGGAAAGCUUCAUAAAAGAGUUUGGUGAAAUAAACACUUGAAGAAAAGUACAGAGAUCAGUGUUUACAGAGCCAUUGUGCUGGCUACUCUCUUAUAUGGAUCUGAAUCACAGGUCAUCUACCGCCACCACCUGUGUCUCCUAGAACGCUUCCAUCAACGCUGUCUCCAUAAAAUCCUAAAC